UGUGGACAAGAUUAUAGGGGGAAAGGCCACCAAACUAAUCGACUUUCAAAUUGAAGACAAUGCUGAGAACACCAUGAUGUGUACACUCUGGAAUGAACAUGUAUCUUCCCUUAUGCCUUUUUACAAUAGUGAUUCGAAAGAACCACUGAUUGUUGUCAUUCAAUGCUGUAGGGCUAAAGUUGUGGGUGGUGAAGUGAGAAUAACCAGUUC